CAAGGUUUGAGAGCUGGACAGCGGCAUAUUUAUAAUAAUAUUAUAAAAACUGAGUUGUACAUCUACAAGAACAUGUUAUUUAGCAUAGUUGAGCUAGCACAUACAGCAUAGCCUACAGUUUUUUUGGGGGGUGGAACCAAAUUGCAGCACUCCUAUUAUCUUAAAAGAGUUCCAAUCUUGUUUAGGCCAAUUGUAAGGCUUCCUCGCGCUUGAUAUCAAACACCUUGAUAAGGACAUCUUCAACAACCUUAUCGGGGGUGGAUGCACCAGAUGUCACCCCAACUGUAAUAGGACCCUCCGGUAAGAAGUUCUCUUUCUCAACCAACUCCCCA
rnacentral:misc_RNA from 1 species